CAGCAGCCACGGGAACACGUAGGGUGCAAGCGUUAAUCGGAAUUACUGGGCGUAAAGCGUGCGCAGGCGGUUAUAUAAGUCAGAUGUGAAAUCCCCGGGCUCAACCCGGGAACUGCAUUUGAGACUGUAUGGCUAGAGUGUGUCAGAGGAGGGUAGAAUUCCACGUGUAGCAGUGAAAUGCGUAGAUAUGUGGAGGAAUACCGAUGGCGAAGGCAGCCCCCUGGGAUAACACUGACGCUCAUGCACGAAAGCGUGGGGAGCAAACAGGAUUAGAUACCCCUGUAGUCCCUGUCUCUUAUAC
rnacentral:rRNA from 1 species